UAUGACCACAUCAUAUUGAAACACCAGAUCCGAUAUGAUCACCAAAGUUGAACAACAUCAAGCCCAGUCAGUACCUAGAUGGGUGACCACUUGGGAAUACCAGGUGCUGUAAG